rnacentral:rRNA from 1 species
CACACUGCCGAGAAAAGCCUCUAGAUAGAAAAUAGGUGCCCGUACCGCAAACCGACACAGGUAGUCAAGAUGAGAAUUCUAAGGUGAGCGAGCGAACUCUCGUUAAGGAACUCGGCAAAAUGACCCCGUAACUUCGGGAGAAGGGGUGCUCUUUAGGGUUAACGCCCAGAAGAGCCGCAGUGAAUAGGCCCAAGCGACUGUUUAUCAAAAACACAGGUCUCUGCUAAACCGUAAGGUGAUGUAUAGGGGCUGACGCCUGCCCGGUGCUGGAAGGUUAAGAGGAGUGGUUAGCUUCUGCGAAGCUACGAAUCGAAGCCCCAGUAAACGGCGGCCGUAACUAUAACGGUCCUAAGGUAGCGAAAUUCCUUGUCGGGUAAGUUCCGACCCGCACGAAAGGCGUAACGAUUUGGGCACUGUCUCAACGAGAGACUCGGUGAAAUCAUAGUACCUGUGAAGAUGCAGGUUACCCGCGACAGGACGGAAAGACCCCGUGGAGCUUUACUGUAGCCUGAUAUUGAAAUUCGGCACAGCUUGUACAGGAUAGGUAGGAGCCUUUGAAACGUGAGCGCUAGCUUACGUGGAGGCGCUGGUGGGAUACUACCCUAGCUGUGUUGGCUUUCUAACCCGCACCACUUAUCGUGGUGG